GCGAGGGUGGCGGAACUGGUAGACGCGCAAGAUUCAGGAUCUUGUGGUAAAGAGCCAUGGGGGUUCGAGUCCCCCCUCUCGCA
rnacentral:tRNA from 2 species